UCACAAGGAGCAAAAUACCUACAAAGAAUUCAAUGAGCACUGAAUCAUAUCUUUACCAUGAGCGCAAGGCUGUAGCAAUUUACGCACACCCAUUAACUGCUUGUGGUCCAGUGAAAAAAUUCACUACAGUGGAAGCCAUGGCUGCCAAACUGCCAACUGGGCUUUCUCCUUCACAAGAAAAACCAAAGCUUUCUUUCUUCCUCAUUGAGCCAUGUUCUGAUAGAUUCGACCACUGCUGCCCACAGCCAAAGAUCCACCAGCCAAUCAAUUGGAGAAGGAAAAAUCUCAUUUGACAGGCGAGGUUGAGUUCGUUGGGCGGGUCGGGCUACGUAUUUGGGGCGUGGCACCAAUAAAAACUCGCGUUUGAGAGGCGAGGUUUCACAAACGACGUCGCCGUACUAACCUCGCAUUUUGAACGCUGGAUGUUCUUUGAAACGACGUCGGCCGGUUUCAUACAUACUUCGCAUCUUCGACAUGCGAAGUCUAUUAAACGCCAUCAACCCCUCGUUUGAUCGGAAUUGUAACCUGAUUACAGGUUUUUUCGUUGAUCGAAACUUCUCAAAUUGUAGAGCUUGUGAAGUAGAUAAACCCUGGUGAUGAUCAUGUUAAUCGAGUACACGAUGCAAGGUAAUCGGAGAUGAUUUUUGUGAAUUUAUUUUUGUAAAAAUAGAUUUGGCCACACUGGAUCAAAUCCAAUACAUGCGAAGUCUUUUAAACAACAUCAACGCCUCGUUUGAUCGGAAUUGUAAACUGAUUACAGGUUUUUUCGUCGAUCGAAAUUGCUCAAAUUGUAGAGCUUGUUAAGUAGAUAAACCCUGUUGAUGACCAUGUUAAUCGAGUACAUAAUGCUACCCAAUCGGAGAUGAUUUUUGUGGAUUUCUUUUUGUAAAAAUAGAUUUGACCACACUGGAUCAAACCCAAUAAUGACAUAAAUUCACUCCGACGGUCCGACGGCAAAGGAGGGAGAGGAGCCAAGUCCGUUCUCGGAUUUUCCGAUGUACCGGAAAAGAAAGAGAAGAAAAUAGAUUUGCUGCCUUGAGACUGCAUAACAGUGAAUAUAGGCGCUUGGCCCGAUUACGUAAUUGCCCUUGUUGGACUUUUUCGUGUUUUCCAAAUAGGUCCUUUUCCGUGUCGUUAUUUUGUUGGCAUAUUGAGGGUUUUUCUGCUGAGAUGGAGAGAUGAUAAUUGUUUACGAUGGGAUGUAUCAGAGAUGCUCAGGCUUGUGUGUUUAGGAGUGCAGGUGAUUCAUGACUUGGACGACGUCUUCACAUAGUCUGCUUUUAUUGCCUCUGGCUUCCUUUGUCGGACCCUCAAUUUCUUUCGUUCUCUCUCCUUUGCACUGCAAAUCAGGUGAGUUUGAUUCUUGUUUGAGAUUUGGGCAUUCUGAUGUGGUAUUUUCUGCCUUUGCAAUGGCAGCUUUGUUACACUUAUGGCUUCUCGCGUUUCUAUGCUUUUGCACCUCAAUGCCUUCAAUCGCAGAAGAAAAGAAGGGAAAUAGUAAGAAUUUGGGUAUUCAUAAGCCUCUGAUUUUCUAUUGUGAGUGUUUCCAUGUUGCACGAGUUACUGGUUAUCAGGAACUGAUCUACCAAGCCAUUGAAGCAUUUGAGGACCUCUUAUUUAGCGAAGAGGAGUCAAAGAAGAAUGAAAAAGGUAAGAAGAGACAGAAAAUCGGUCUACCUGAUCUUUCAUUUGGAUCGUCAAUUUGGGGUCUUUAAACCAUAUUUUCUCCAAAUGCUUGCACUGGGUAUCCUAUUAAAAUCGUAUGGCUUGAGGUCUUUUCCUGGGUGUAUGAUUGUCACCUGUUCUUGGGUUGUGAACUUGUGAUAGAAAGUUAGACUUGGUUGCGUUAUCUCUCCGUUUGAUUUCGUUAUGUUAUCUCUCGGUCUGAUUUGUGAUCCCUUCGUGAGAUGUGAGUUUUUCCUCCAGUUGAUUUAGUUUGACAUUCAUUCGAUUUUCCUUUCUGUUAACAUCAAUUUUUUUUUAUCCAUUUCAAAAAUGCUUUGCCUCUGCGGCAGUUAACUUGGUUGAAUGAAUGGAUGUCCCAGUUAUUGAGGCAAAAAUUGCAUGCUACCAGAAAGAAAAAGCUGAAGUAAUUAUGAAUGCUCAAGCUUGCUGAAGAAUAUGUGGAGGCAGCAUUCACUGCAAGUAAUGGACAACCUGAUAAUGAUGCAAUAAGAUUUAUUGUUUUGGCUAGUUAAUAAACAUGCACUCCCUGCUAAAAGUCUUUCUUCCGCAACAGCAGAGCUCUCAAGAAGGGGUUGGUGUUGGUGCACAGGAGUGUUAUGCACCUUCACUUCCUGGGUUUGCGAUUGCUCAGCCGCGGCCAACAGGCAUGGCUCCAUAAGUCCAUAUCCCUUUCCGACUGGGUCGGAUCCUUAUAUGCAAUUGUACGGUGUUGCUGACGAAGAAAUGAUCAAACUUAGAGCAGAAAGAAGGGGAAGGGUAGGUGGUUUGAACUUUGAAUUGAGCAAGAAACAGGCACUUGAAGAAGCCUUCAUAACUAGUUUGAUUGUGUAGACAGUCUUUGUCGGGAGUUUGAUCCCAUGCCUCUGUUUGAUUCUCCAAAGUGAGAACAGUAAUUACCUAUAACUAUCUAGAUUUAUUUUAGCAAAUGCCCUCUUAUUAUCAA